ACAUCAAUAGAUGCCCCAAAGUAGAAUCCAUUGUAUGAAACUGACCGUUGCCUUACCAACAUAAACUCACUACGGAUUAGUGAUUGUCGAGUCCUAAAGCGCAGAUAUUCGGUCGAAAGUGGAGAAGAUUGGCCCAAACAUACGCAUAGACUGAGGUUGAUCCCUCAAAAGGUGAUAACGUAACAUAUAGCUAAACCCUUUUAGGUAAGAACUAUUUAUCUGAUUUUAAACUAUUUUCAACAAGACUGUAUCACCCAUUUCCAUUUUUUAUCAUAAGUGAUGUAUACAGCAAAGUCUCUUACUUCCCUAACUUGGUAUAUAUAAAUUCUCUUAUUUCCGUUUUAGCUUAUACUUCGAAGACAACAAUAUGUUUGAUAUGACACUAACUUUGCAUGUUUUUGUGUCCUUUUUUUCUCCUAAUAUUUUAGUAACAAUGCCGUAUUCUUUGAAUAAACAAGGGUAUAAUCAUACUUUUAAGGCACAUAAGGGUAUAGUCAUACUGCAUGUCAGCAUCCAAGUUACCAUUUUUGCAUUGUUAUUUUUUGUUUUGUUUUGUAUUGUAGAUCCACUUUCAAAACAAUUACCAGAAACAGGAUGAUUGGGAAGUUUGUAAAAUUACCACAUACCCAUUUUGUCUCAUAAACAGAUUUAUAUGCUUCUGGAGUGGCACACCUUUGUUAGCUUUCAUACUCUAAACUUCCCUUUCAUUGCUGAAAAUGUCUGGCCUAUUGUUUGCAGUUCUUGGCAAUGGCAUAUGGCUAACUCUUUAUUGCUCUGGCUCUUUGGGGCAUUCUUCGAUUGUGCUUCUUUUAUGUAGUAUAUAUCAGCAUUCUUCCAUUUCUUUGUUUAUAAUUUAUAAUUGCAAGUUAUAUCAUUUUCUAGAUAUCUUCCCAGUUUUCAGCUUCUAUGUUAGUUAUUUGCUGAUGAAUUACAGAUUAGCAAUGCUUUUUACUCCCUGAUAACUGAAACACUAACAGAUAUUAAUAUAUUAUUAAUCAUACAUUCAUAUGUACUUUACAUUGUGCAUAUAUUUCGUUGUAUUCACUGGCUGAAAGUUUAAUAGGCAAUGCUUGACUCUUGAGGGAGUCUGAAUAUACUUGUGAGAAAAAUAUAUUUUAUUUCUUGUUCUCUGUGCUUAGCUUUUAACAUACAUUUGUUUACGCACUAAAAGAUGCAAGAGAUGCUACAAAUUGUCAUUCGAUUCAGGUGUUCUUAAUUUUAUAGCUCAUGUUCUUUAGGGCGAAAAAUAAUGAAAACCUCAAUAUUUUAAUGCAAAUUUCAAAGAUCUAUGUUACAAUAUCACUGAUCUCCCACAACUUUUUCUUGAUAAAAAUAUACUAGCUAACUUGUCUGGCAAAACAUGAAAGUUAGUGGAAACUCACCCUGCUUGUUCUGCUUAGUUUAAAGUAUAAGAAUUUUAAUUAGUUUCUUUGUCAUACCAUAGGUCUGUAUUGUGUGUAAUGGUCCCAUUAGAUAUGGGAGAGAGUGUUUCCCAUUAGAUGCAUGGAAAAGAGGGAGGAAGAAUAUUUCAGCUCCAUAUAUCUGCUAUGCUAGUGCAUUCCGCAUUUGUCUCGCAAAGAAAGAAACAGAUUGCGUGGGGUGUUGCUCUAUCAUAUAGAAAAGGAUAUUGGAGCAGCAAGUUCAACUUGAAAAAAGAGAGACUGAGCUAACAAUCAUAUUUUACACAAUUUAUAAGGAUUCAUGUGCAUACAUUGUACUCCUUUUCUCAUUGCUGAUUUUGGUUUUUU